rnacentral:rRNA from 1 species
GACGAACGCUGGCGGCGUGCUUAACACAUGCAAGUCGAACGGAAAGGCCCCUUUGGGGGUACUCGAGUGGCGAACGGGUGAGUAACACGUGAGUAACCUGCCCUUGACUUCGGGAUAACUUCAGGAAACUGGGGCUAAUACCGGAUAGGAAUCCUUGCUGCAUGGUGGGGGUUGGAAAGCUUCGGCGGUUUUGGAUGGACUCGCGGCUUAUCAGCUUGUUGGUGGGGUAGUGGCUUACCAAGGCUUUGACGGGUAGCCGGCCUGAGAGGGCGACCGGCCACAGUGGGACUGAGAUACGGCCCAGACUCCUACGGGAGGCAGCAGUGGGGAAUAUUGCACAAUGGGCGGAAGCCUGAUGCAGCAACGCCGCGUGCGGGAUGACGGCCUUCGGGUUGUAAACCGCGUUCAGCAGGGGCGAAGCUUGUGGUGACGGUACCUGCAGAAGAAGCACCGGCUAACUACGUG